rnacentral:rRNA from 1 species
AGAUACCCUGGUAGUCCACGCCGUAAACGGUGGGUGCUAGGUGUGGGUUUCCUUCCACGGGAUCCGUGCCGUAGCUAACGCAUUAAGUCCCCCGCCUGGGGAGUACGGCCGCAAGGCUAAAACUCAAAGGAAUUGACGGGGGCCCGCACAAGCGGCGGAGCAUGUGGAUUAAUUCGAUGCAACGCGAAGAACCUUACCCGGGUUUGACAUACACCAGAAAGCUGUAGAGAUGUAGCCCCCCUUUGUGGUUGGUGUACAGGUGGUGCAUGGCUGUUGUCAGCUCGUGUCGUGAGAUGUUGGGUUAAGUCCCGCAACGAGCGCAACCCUUGUCCUGUGUUGCCAGCGCGUUAUGGCGGGGACUCGCAGGAGACUGCCGGGGUCAACUCGGAGGAAGGUGGGGAGGACGUCAAGUCAUCAUGCCCCUUAUGUCCAGGGCUUCACACCUGCUACAAUGGCCGGUACAGAGGGCUGCGAUACCGUGAGGUGGAGCGAAUCCCUUAAAGCCGGUUUCAGUUCGGAUCGGGGUCUGCAACUCGA